CUGUGUUUCAAUUGUGGCUGAGAGGUUUCCUUGGCAAUGUGAGGAAGAAAAUUCUUUCUACCUCAUUAUUAUUAAUUCAUGGAUUGAGUGUUGGUUCGACCUACAGGCGUAAUAGCUUGGAACUGAGUGAAGACACAGAUGUUCCUGUUGAGAGCAACCAGCUAAUGGUUACAUUUUAAAGACGAUUUCUGUGGCUGAGUGGUCAUUGGAAGAGUAAGUCCUUUUCAAGAGUCCUCGGAGCUGGUCUCACCUCGGAAGCAGUGGCUUGUUCCAGGAAGCCGGUUUUGGCCUGAGAAUUUACCCAGUAUGCCUAAUCAGGGAGAAGACUGCUAUUUUUAUUUCUAUUCUACAUGCGCCAAAGGUGACAGCUGCCCAUUCCGUCACUGUGAAGCUGCACUAGGAAAUGAAACUGUUUGCACACUAUGGCAAGAAGGUCGUUGUUUUCGACAGGUGUGCAGAUUUCGUCACAUGGAAAUUGACGUAAGUUUCCAAUAUUUGUUACUAUAGGUAUAUAGAAUCAUUAAAAAAUCUGAGGACAGUGGCUAAUGAGGGUGGGGUGAUUCAGUAAAAGCAAUUAACUGCCAAGACUGGUGGGGGUUGGGAUGCGUGCGUGCUGUUGCACACAUGUGGAGAUCAGAGAACACCCUGACCUGUAGGAGUUAGCUCUGGCUCCACAACCUGUGUCCUGGAACUUGUGCUUGAAUUUUGUUGAAUACCUUAACCUGCUGAGGCCUCUUGCUGGCCCGUGUUUCUAAGUUCUAAAACAGUUAGGGGGGCUCGAGAGAUGGCUCAGAGGUUAAGAGUACCUGCUGUUCGUUUCCUAGCACCCAUGUGGUAGCUCACAAUCAUCUAACUCUACUUUUAAGGCUCCGAUGCCCUCCUAGACUUCCACGGACACCAGUCACAAAUGUGGGGUACAUAUAUACAUUCAAGAAAAAACAUGCAUACAUAGAAAAUAAAAUAAAUAUUUUUCUUCUGACCCACUUAAGGAUAAAUUACUGCCAUCUUAUCUUCUAUUUCCCAUUACAUUGAGAAUUUCCUACAAACAAGGCAUUUUCCUACAUAACAGUAGCAAACAAUGAAAAUUUAAAAUGGGAAUUGGUAACACUUUUGUCCUCAUGCAGGUUUGCUGCUGUCUGGUCAUAUCUUAUAGUGAAGGGACAGUCGCGCUUACAGAUGACGCGUGGUGUCUGAUGUUUUAGUCUCACAGGACAGUGUCUGUCAUGAUAGUUGUAGGGCAAGUGUUCUGUAACAUGAUUCAAUUUAUUUUUACAUUUUCAUUACUGAAUUACAAUUGUAUAUGUCUCUUUUUUAAUUGUAUGUGUAUGUGUUGGAAUGCUCUGUACCACAUAGGUAGGACCAGCAGAAGUCAGGAGUUGGAUCUCUUGGAGCCAAGUUACAGAUACUUGGGAGCCACGGUGUGGGUGCUGGGAACUGAACCUGGGUUCUCUGCAAGAACAGUGAAUGCUUUUAACCUUUAGGCCAUCUCUUCAGCCCCCUAGAUGCUAUCUGUUUCAUGGGACAUCACAAAAGCAACAUUCUUUUCAUUGUACAUAGAUAAUAAAGUGGCAUACAAUUGCAGUUUUUUCAUUACUGCUCUAACUUUUUUCACAGUGUAGUUACAUUUAAUAAAAAAUACUAUGUGUGUUUAUAAGUAUGUACAUGUAUGUGUGCAUGUGGGGGUCAGAGAAGGACUUCACCAGUCACUUGUUCUACCAUGUGGACCCCAUAGAUAGAACUUGUCAUCAGGCUUGACAGCAGGUAUCCUCACCACUGAGCCAUUUCACUGCCCCAGUUUUAGAAGUUUUUUAACACUCUAGAUACUCUAGAUGGCCCAUUUCCCACCGAACUUGAUUUUUUCCCCUGGAUCUAUUUGUGUUAGUGUGAAUUAUUGGUUUUCUGUUUUUGCUUAAUGUAUUAUAUCCAUUAUAUUCCAAUUUAACGUUUAAGAGGCCUUCAAGCUGACUUACUUAUUUACUGGGGGGGGGGGCACUCCUUACCACUCCUCACUUUUUGGUCAAUAGAGGUUUUCCAGGCCUUUUAAUCUUUGUAAUUUUCUUACUCCUACUCUAGAAUCUAUCUAGAUAAAGUUGUAUUGGUUUCUUUCAGUGAAGAAAGGUAGAUAGACACUAUGCUUUGGUCUGUCCCUAUUGCUUUUCAAGUCCUUAGUAGAGAGAGAAGUGGGAGAUAUAUAAAUAAGCAUGCAUUGCUUUGGGUCUUCAUAUUGAAAGGCACAAAUUCACAUAGGUGCUUUCAGCUGAUCAGUACCAGGGUUUAGUGUAGGUUUCUUUUGUUACUGUUUUCUCAAAAGUGAGAACCAUUCAUGCCCUCCCUCCUUCUUCCUUUCCACUUUCCCUUCCCUUCCCUCUCCCCUCCAUGUACCCCGUUCUAAUGUUACAUGAAGGUACUGCUUCAUAGUGUCACCGUAACUCCAUUGUGAAGACCCCUUCCUCCUUGAACUGUACCAUCCUGCUGAGGACAUCUCACCCUUUGAAGGUCCUGGGCUCUGGUACUUUGUGCUAGGCCACUCCCUAUGUGAGGUGCUUCCUUACUCCAGUUACUUCCUGCUGGGUACCAGUUUCUCUCAGAGGAGGACGCUGUCCUUCUGUGAUGCUGCCCCGCACUGUCCAUGAACACACCCUCUUCACUGCGCUGGAGCCCCUUCUGCAGC
rnacentral:lncRNA from 1 species